rnacentral:rRNA from 1 species
CCUACGGGAGGCAGCAGUGAGGAAUAUUGGUCAAUGGCCGGAAGGCUGAACCAGCCAUGCCGCGUGAAGGUCAGUGCCCUAUGGGCGUUAAACUUCUUUUGUGCGGGAGCAAUAAUGGGCACGUGUGGCCAGACGAGAGUACCGUACGAAUAAGCAUCGGCUAACUCCGUGCCAGCAGCCGCGGUAAUACGGGGGAUGCAAGCGUUAUCCGGAAUUAUUGGGUUUAAAGGGUGCGUAGGCUGUGAGGUAAGUCAGCGGGGAAAUGCCCCCGCUCAACGGGGUGAAGUGCCUUUGAUACUGCAUUGCUGGAGUGCGGAUGCGGUAGGAGGAAUGUGUGGUGUAGCGGUGAAAUGCAUAGAUAUCAGGCAGAACACCGAUUGCGAAGGCAUCUCACGGAUCCGCGAUUGACGCUGAUGCACGAAAGCGUGGGUAUCAAACAGGAUUAGAUACCCUAGUAGUC